AUCAGCUCGGUACUCGCCGAAUGCAUCUAGAGUNAAGUUUGAUCAUGGCUCAGAGUCAACGCUGNNGGUAGGCCUAACACAUGCAAGUCGAACGGCAGCACAGGAGAGCUUGCUUUCCCCUUUUUUCCCCCUUGGGGGGGGGGGUUUUUGGGGGGGGGCCCCCCGGGGAAAGGGGUUGGCGGACGGGUGAGGAAUAAACCCAAAAUUUUUUCCCCCCCGGGGAAAACAGCAAGCAACAAACAACAAGGUUUUUUUUCCCCCUUUUAUAAACGCACCUUUUUUCCCCCCCCCGGUUUUUUGGGGGGCCGACUUUCACCCCCCGGGCGACGCACUUAUUGAUGGGGCGCUCGGGCACGUGGGGACCGCGGGGCGCUGGGGACCACAAAUCAUUUUUUNAAAACAGACAACAACGCGCCCCGUUNGGGGCGCGUUUUUUUUAUACAACACCGCGCGGCGAGUUGUGGGGCGGUCGGNCGGCCGCACAAAAAACACACUGUGCCAAACAAUACGNGNGCGACGAAAAAGAGCCCCCCCCUUGUUUUUUAUUAUGUUUUNUUUUAAAAAAAAGGGCCCCCCCNACUANGGUGGCGUGGGCACCCCCCCCCCCACAGGUUUUUUUUUUAAAAACGGGCACAACACGAAGAACCAACGANAACCGAACUGGUUCUUUUUUUUUUUUUUUUUAAUAAAAGAGAGAAUGCGGCGCCGCCNCCCGACGAGUGAUAUGACGCCCCCCCCCCACAUGUGGGGGGGGGC
rnacentral:rRNA from 1 species